rnacentral:rRNA from 1 species
UACGAAGGGGGCUAGCGUUGUUCGGAAUUACUGGGCGUAAAGCGCGCGCAGGCGGCUAUCCAAGUCAGUGGUGAAAGCCCGGAGCUCAACUCCGGAACUGCCAUUGAAACUGUUUAGCUUGAGGAUGAGAGAGGUGAGUGGAAUUCCCAGUGUAGAGGUGAAAUUCGUAGAUAUUGGGAGGAACACCGGUGGCGAAGGCGGCUCACUGGCUCAUUACAGACGCUCAGGCGCGAUAGCGUGGGGAUCAAACAGG